rnacentral:rRNA from 1 species
UAGGCUGAAACUACGCCUACAUGAAGCUGGAAUUGCUAGUAAUCACAGGUCAGCAUACUGUGGUGAAUACGUUCCCGGGCCUUGUACACACCGCCCGUCACACCAUGAGAGUUGAGAAUACCCGAAGCCCAUGUCAAAGUGGUCGAAGGUAGGCUUGAUGAUUGGGGUGAAGUCGUAACAAGGUAUC